CGUAAACUUUUGGGCCAAAGUGCAAAUACACAAAAGUAUCAAAACUUUAUGUAAUUGCAUAAAAGACCCAAAAGAACCCUAAUAAUAGGGUGGCCGGUUUUGGAGUGUUAGUCCACAAAAAUUUUGAAAAUUUUUUCAACAAAUUCAUAAAGCCUUGCAAGUGGUUUUUGGUUGGUGUAAAUCAUAAAACCAUGCAUGUGGUGUGUAAGGUGUGUAAGGUGUGUAAGUCUUACACACCCAUCACAAUUUCUAUCACCUUUCAUAAAAUAUAAAUGUUUUGAUGAUAGAUAUUUCACACCAAUCAACACAAAACAAAGACUUUAUGAAAUUAAUCAAAACUUUGAAUCAAAACACAAACCUUUUUGUUCUUGGCAAAAAUGUCAAGAACAAUGAAGAACAUUCAUGAAAAACCCAAAAUUUUUCCAUGAACUUUUUCCACCCAAAAACAUUCCAAAACCAUUCAAACUUUAGGGAAAUAACAUCUAAACAAACUAGGGUACAUAGGGGUUCCAAAAGUCACUUGAAAACACUUUUAACAAGUCAAACAAGAACCCAAAAAUCCACCCUUUGGAUUUGGCCGAAUUUUCCCAAAGUCAUGGCACCAAAUUUUAGCUCCAAUAUUCAUGCUCAUAUGAACUACAUCUACAACAUUUGA
rnacentral:lncRNA from 1 species